UCUCCCACUGGAGCUCCUCUCCUCUCCCCCUUCGUUCACCUCCUUAUACUUCCCCUCCCCUUGCCGCAGCCUAGCUCCUAGCGCGUCAGCGUGGGCUUCCCGGAGCGAGUCGCUAGGUAACAGGGCUGGCUCCGCAGACCCGGGCCAGGGAAGCCCGCGCGCGUCGUCAGCAACUGCGCCGCGGGGCGGGGGACGCACUGACUCUCCUCUGCCGGGGCCUACAGACCCCCUUGGUUGGCUUACGACCGUCUUCCUGGAUGCCUUAAGGGCAUCAAUCGCCGCCCCUCCCCUGCGGAGGGACCCCUACGUCGUCGCCGCCCCCUCCUCCUGCCCGCUGGUGCGCACCACACACCGAACCGCCAGGUGGGCGACUCUCCGCUGCGGUUGCGGUAGCCGCUGCUGCUGCCCUCCAAGAUCUUCCCGCCGAGCCCAGGCGCGGGGCAUGAGGAGCCCCUGGGUAUCGCCUGCAGACAAUCCAGCCGCGCGCACACCCCGCCAGCUGUUGACUGGAACAUGAGCAGCAUGAUUGGGCUCCGGUGCCUGGCCGCCAGCCUCAGCCAGAGGCGGCCAGUGGGUCCGCGCUGCCUGGGAGAAUGAGGCAGGAACCCACGGCCACCUCUCUUUUCUCUUCGCCUUCCUCUGGCUCCCGUGUCCCGAGCCCGGGCCGGGCUGUGGCUCUGCUGCGUGCCCUGCGCGCCCCCCACCUGCCUCCGGAUGCUCUUCUCGGUUAGCCUGGCGAGGAAGAUAAAGACAUUUGCAACCAAGAUGGUCAUCACCAGCGGAAAUGAUGAAGACCGAGGAGGCCAAGAGAAAGAGAGCAAAGAAGAGAGCGUGCUGGCCAUGCUGGGCAUCGUUGGGACCAUCCUGAACCUGAUCGUCAUCAUCUUUGUGUACAUAUACACCACUCUAUGAAGGGCCCCACCCAGCCACAAGACAAGGCUCCCGUGUGUCCCUAUAGUGGUGACCACACGCUGCCAGGGGCCAGCGGGUUCGAAGACCACACACUGCUCCUCCGUCAAUGCAUCUUCGAACUUUCUAGCAGGUCACCAAAUGAACCCACCCUGCUGUGAGGAGCAGAUACUCUGAAGCACAAUGUAUCCAAUGAAACUCAUUCAGGCCACAAGGAACUCAGCGUCUCUGGCAGGGGACCUGGUAGGAUGCUGGAAGGACCAGCCUUGGGCCCUAGUGGUGGGCAGAUGGGUGUGGA